UCCUGUAACGAAAGUGAUGAUGGUGUGACGUCGCCACGUCAUUGAUAGUACAGGAAGAUAAAACUGCCGGCCUUUCCCGUGUCUGCUGGACGUGUUCCUGCCCAGACCCUGGCGCCUGCAGACA